rfam:Volvox carteri f. nagariensis unplaced genomic scaffold VOLCAscaffold_40, whole genome shotgun sequence.
GAUAGAACAAUGUAGAUAAGGGAAGUCGGCAAAAUGGAUCCGUAACUUCGGGAAAAGGAUUGGCUCUGAGGGCUGGGCCUAGGGGUCUGCAGCUGUGAAGCUCGGGACUGUGGUGGUCUACCCAACUGGAAACGGCUGGGCGGACUGCUGCGUGUCCUGGGUGGACGGCUGUAGAAGCUUCGCGGCGUUCCCUAGGCGACGAACAGCCAACUCAGAACUGGUACGGACAAGGGGAAUCCGACUGUUUAAUUAANACAAAGCAUUGUGAUGGUCCCAAAGGAUGUUGACACAAUGUGAUUUCUGCCCAGUGCUCUGAAUGUCAAAGUGANNNNNNNNNNNNNNNNNNNNNNNNNNNNNNNNNNNNNNNNNNNNNNNNNNCCACCCUCUUUCCGUCCGUACCCUCCGUACCGUCUUUUUCCGUUGAUUUAUACAGCACAAGGAGCUCCCCUUCCUCUCCACCCCCCAAUCCCAUUACGCCAAACACACACACCCCGCCUCACUCACUUGUCAGGUUCAAGCCCCGUGUGUUGAAUGAACAACUGCGCGAAGUCCACCAGCCAGCUAUCCAAGUGGAGCUCUUCACCGCCCUCCCCGCCGCCAGCAGCAGCUGCAGCGCCCUGAACCCCCGACCCAGUGGCGCCUUCACCCUGUGGGGCGCGCGCGUGUGCGUGUGUGUUGUAUGUCUGUCUGUAUGUAUGCGUAUUUACAUGUACGGGGCUCCGAAUGAGUGUUGGUUUGUGUUCCGAAAAGCAGCUCACGUGUGUGACAUGUUGACAGAUUGACUCAUGAUUAUAGUCAUUUGCGAAGUAACAUUCACACACACACACGUAUGUGUGUGUAUUUUCCCCGCUAGUUCCCCCCCACCGCACCUUCCUCUCCCCGGACGCCGCCUUCUGGUAGGCCAGCAGCUGCUGCCGCUCGAACUCCUCCUCGGCUGGGGGUUUGGGCACGUCGGCCUGCGUGUGUGCGUGUGUAUGUGUGUGUGGUGACGGGGGGGGGAGAGUGAGGGGGAGGGGGAAGAAGUGCAGGGCGAGGAGGUCUAUGGCGGUCGAUAGAUCGAUACGACGACCUGACGUCCGCCGGCAGCGGCAGUAGCAGGUAUCCACUGAACCGGCACACCUCCAAGUUCAAUCCCGACCCAAACUCUCCCCAAACUCCGCAAGCUCCGAAACCACGAGAUCCGUCCCCUAACACCUGCUGCCGUACAUACCUGUCCACCACCGAGACUUCCAAGUCAUCCUGACGCUACUGCCAUCCCGAGGUUGCAGCAGUACCAUCAGCAGCAGGCUCUACUACUACUGCUACUGCUGUUCCUGGCACCCAAUCCCAAGGGGGGGGCCAGGGCCACGUCCUCCUUCCUUUCCACAGGAGCAAUAGGAAGGACAGAACCCCCCUCCCUCCCCCUCCAUAAACCUCCACGACAAAACACAUCCUGGCCGCUCAUAUUCGCCCGCCCCCGACUUCAUUUGAUUUCUCCUCUCCCCCCCCCUCCUCCCCCUCCCCCUCCUCCCCCUCCCCCUCCCCCUCCUCCCCCUCCUCCCGCCCGGCUCCUCCCCCCCCCUCCUCCCGCCCGGCUCCUCCCCCCCCUCCUCCCGCCCGGCUCCGCAAGCUCACCGCGCUGGCUACCGGUGUCAGGAGCAGCUUCAGCGGUGGGAAGGCGGUCAGUCGAGGUCCGUGUGCGCCCUGUGACGCCAUGGUCCGCUGGUACUGCUGCAUCAGCUCAGCUAGGGCCACGUGGAUGUCGGCCUUGCAGGUGAGCGUGAUGACAUCGCCGUUCUUGUCCAAGUACUUGAGCGCGAACGGACCUAAGAGGAGGAGGGGGGGAUGGUGCCGUCCCCCGGGGGGUUUGGGUUUUAGGGUUUGGGUUUGUGACAUCUCAAGACGCGCAAGUAAACCCCCAUUUGUCCCUCUCCGCCUUCCUCAUGUCCUCUUUCCCCCCCCCUCCGGCAUUGCAUCAUGCAUCCCGGCCGCCCGCCAAUGCACCCCCAAAACACACACGCGCGCGCAUCUUGACCGAGGACCGCCGCCCUGCCUCAAAUCCCCCUGCCUUUCCCCACUCCUUCCCCCCUGCACAACUGGGUCGCCCGAGCACCUGCGGAGGGAAAUUUGGCCUGUACGGCAGCCAACACAUCCGCAUAGUUGUUGUUGAACGACAGGUGGACGAGCUUAGUCUCGUCUCCGAGGGAACACUUGGCCACGUACAAACCCUGCUGCAGCGCAGACAGCUUGCUGGCGGCGGNNNNNNNNNNNNNNNNNNNNNNNNNNNNNNNNNNNNNNNNNNNNNNNNNNUCCUAAGAUGAGCUCAACGAGAACAGAAAUCUCGUGUAGAACAAAAGGGUAAAAGCUCAUUUGAUUUUGAUUUUCAGUACGAAUACAAACUGUGAAAGCAUGGCCUAUCGAUCCUUUAGCCUUUCGGGAUUUGAAGCUAGAGGUGUCAGAAAAGUUACCACAGGGAUAACUGGCUUGUGGCAGCCAAGCGUUCAUAGCGACGUUGCUUUUUGAUCCUUCGAUGUCGGCUCUUCCUAUCAUUGUGAAGCAGCAUUCACCAAGCGUUGGAUUGUUCACCCCCUAAUAGGGAACGUGAGCUGGGUUUAGACCGUCGUGAGACAGGUUAGUUUUACCCUACUGUUGGACCGAUUCCGCCAUAGUAAUACGGCUCAGUACGAGAGGAACCGCCGUUUAAGAUAAUUGGUAAAUGCCCUUGCCUGAAAAGGCAAUGGGGCGAAGCUAACAUCUGUAGUCUAAUGACUGAACGCCUCUAAGUCAGAAGACAUGCUAGGUGCGGAGUCACUUUCCCAAUGAUGUCACCCGACUAAGGAUACAUCCGCCUGUGUGGAUGCUGGAGCAUAUCCGUUGGUUUCCCCGUUAGGAUCACAGGUCCAAUACGGGUGCCAAGCACGACAAUUCCACUCGUCAUUGGGGUAAAUCCUCUGCAGACGACUUUGUUGCAACUGGGUAUUGUAAGUGGUAGAGUGGCCUUGCUGCUACGAUCCACUGAGAUUCAUCCCGUGUUGCUAUAAGAUUU